rnacentral:tRNA from 1 species
UAUUAAGUGGCCGAAAAAAGCACUAAACUUUUAAUUUAGAUAAUGAUUAUUCUACUAAUCCUUAAUAG